GUGGAUUAGUUACCCCAGUAGUCCACGCCCUAAACGGUGCACACUAGGUCUUGGCGGAUUCGACCCCCCCAGGGCCCAAGCUAACGCGUUAAGUGUGCCGCCUGAGGACUACGGCCGCAAGGCUAAAACUCAAAGGAAUUGACGGGGGCCCGCACAAGCGGUGGAGUAUGUGGCUUAAUUCGAUGCAACGCGAAGAACCUUACCUGGCCUUGACAUGCAUUAGACAGACGCUGAAAGGCGUCCUUCCUUCGGGACUGGUGCACAGGUGCUGCACGGCUGUCGUCAGCU
rnacentral:rRNA from 1 species